UUCUAUUUUAUUACUUCUGCUUUUGUCUUUAUUGUUUCUUUCCUUUGGGCUUAUUCUGUUCUUCUUUUUUAACCUCUUAAGUGAAGUAGUCCCCUUAGCCAUAGAAGGAUGACUGGCCUGUGACUCAGCCUGCAGGCCUGGCACUGCUGUAUGACUCCCCUGCCUUCCACUCCCUCUGAGGGUGCAGGGAGGGAGGCUGACGCCUACCCCAGAUGUCUCAGAAGGAAAGGGGAUUAGGGUUUCUUGAGGAAAGGAGGGCAGGGCAGGUCUGUCUAGGCAGUUGGAAACGUGGGAGUAACAGCCAGGUCGUCUUCCCAGCAGCCGGUUCCCACAGUUUUCCCAGAGCCAGGCUUGAGGUCGCUUAGUCCUUAGGGUCAUGGGAGCAGGAAGCGCUGAGGUGCUAGGGGCCGGCUGGUGGCUUAGGCAGCCUGGUUCCCUAGGGAGGGAACCCGUGCAGCCCUGCAGGGGCACGGGAGGGAGGGCGCAGGGGAGGAGAGCACUCCGCCCACCCGCUGAGCUCCAGCUCCCUCUCCUCCAGCCCAUCCAGAAGGGAAUUCUGGCAGAACCACUUCUGGACCUGUCCCUCUGCACCCCCCAUUCCUGCGCCCUCAUUUAACCUCCCUGACUCUGACCUGGGCUUGGGUCUAUCUUGGGGCCUGGCUGCUGUCCUGGGACGGGAAGGGGAGCAGAUCAGAACUCAGCCUGCGGCUCCAGGCCGCUGGGCGCUGGCUGGGCCUCACGUUCUCCUGGAAGGACCACCUCCCUUGCCCUCCACGGGGUCUGCCUUUGCUCCCAAGGCUCCGCCCUGGACGGAGCGUCCUUCUUGCCUGGGCGUCUUCAGACCUUCAUCUGUGACACCGGGGGCCAUGUGGCUCACCCCGAGGAAGAGACGAGGACUCGCUGUGUUGGCUGUUCUUGAGCUUCUGGGCUCAAGCAAUCCUCCCUCCUGAGCUUCCCAGAGUGCUAGGAUUACAGGUGUGAGCCACUGAGCCCAGCCCAUUUUCUUUUUUUUUUUUUCCUGGCUUCCUUUCCUCCCUGUCUCCCUGGCCUGCCCUUCCUCUUCCCUCAGCUGUUCCUUCCCUUUCUCUCCAGUGAAGACUAAGGGCCAAGCAUGAGCCUUUCUUCCUGCUCUUUUACCCUUGAGGCAGCAGGAGAGGAUAUUCACCUCCUGACAUGACAGAUUCUGACGCUAUCUGCUCCUCUGUGACUUUGGGAAGCGGGCUAUGUGCUGCUCCUGGGCUGAUGGGGGAAAGUGCCUCUCCCAGCAAUGCUGGUGCCACUUGGUGUGCUACGGCCCCCCAGGGCAGUGCGGAGCCAUCUGGGACAGUUAGACAAUGAGAGACUUGAAGCCAUUUCAAGGUGCUUCCUUGAAAAUGCUCCAGAAAAACAGCAGAGGCGGCCUCUCUGGGGAUCCGGUCCAGCCCUUGAAAAGAAUCUGUUUGUUUCACCACUGAACUCAAAUAAGCCAACAGAUUGAAGGAAGGGAGUUUCCACGCGCCCCUCCCCACCAAGCAGUUACCUGAGUUCCAGAGUCCAGUCUGAUGGAUCCCAUUUUACCCUGGUUUAAAUUGUUUCCUUAGAAAAAAAUAAACAGAACCUCUUCUCUCACUCUCCAGUGGAAAGUAUAGAAUCAAACGUAAAUGAAAAUGACAGUUUCUAACAUGCGCGACCUGGACACACGGCUGAACUCCGAGCCUCAGCUGCAGAGUGGGGUCAAUGCACCUACCUUGCAGCGUCACUAUGAGGAUCCACACAACAGAAAUAAACUGCUUAGUGUGUAGUAGGAGCCUCAAAAAUGAUGAUUCAAAAGCACCAGCCUGUCACAUUCAUCCCCUGCUCAAAAACUCUCCCUGCCUUUCCUAGCGCCUAAUGGACAGAUAUUAGUUCAGAAACACUUUAUAACUAAGUGGCCAUAGAGGCAGGCCUGAAGCCUAUUUUCAUUUUCUGUUUCAGUUUCUGAAUCUGUUCUUAUUUAGUCUUCCCUUAAAGGCUAUCUGGAGCCUCCGUGAUGCUUAGUCAGGACAAGCUUGCAGAUGGGUACAGGUUGCAGGCCCUUGCCUCUCUUCCCUUCACCCCAAAGCAGCCAGUAAACCACCUGGACACAGAAAGAGACCCACAUAUUCUCUAAAAUGCCUGAAUGGAACAAUCUAGAAUCUAAGCAUUCCUUAUAGGAACAGAGACUACUGUAAGAUGCGGGAUAGUAAGAAGGCAGCCUAGACUCUUCAAAAGGACAAUGUUUAAAAAAAAAUAAAGUGGAGGGAUGAUUCAAGAUUAAAAGAGAGUGAAGAAAUGAGGCCAACCAGAUGCAAUGUACAGACUUGGGCCACAGCGGGGGAGGUAACAGCAGACGGUUUGGUGGGAAGGAACGCACCAGAGCCCCAUGGGCCUGCCUGGCCAGCUCGCUUGGUCAUCCUGGUAAAACAGCAGAGCUCUCUGUUCCAAGAGGCCCACGCGCAGCCCCACGUGCCUGCUGAUCUGUGUACACACGUGUGUGCACUCUGGCAAGCUUCACUUUAAUUGUGAAGAAACAUGGGAACCGGUGCUCCCACCCGGGCUGUGGGAGUGUGGUGCGGUGGGGCCUGGACAUGGGGAGAGUCCGAAGUGGGGUCAGCUCCCUGGAGUCAGGCAUGUCUGUCUCAAGCUGCCCCUGUCCCUUGCUGAAAUGGGAACCCCCACCAGCUGCCUCGGGGAGCCCGCGUCCUUACACUCUAUUCGGAUCUGCUCCAGCUCCGUCACCUCCGCAAUGGACUCCUUCAGGUCCUCCACGAACUUCUGCAUCUCGUCCGAGCCCAGGGCACAGAAAUGCAGCACCUGCUUCUUCUCGGAGCCCGAGAGCGGGGUCACCAGUGUGAUGCCAUGAGAGUAAUCUGGAAAGCAGACCCCAGGCCCCCAGUGGGCUGUGAGCAGCAGCAGCCGAGGGCUGGGGCCAGCCAGACAUGAGGAGGGCACGGGGUCUCAUGCCUCCACCCACUCUGCUGUCCAGCCCUUCUCCUUCAACUCGCCCCAGCCAUUUCAUCCAUUCAUUCCUUCUCAAAGACUUACACUGGCUGUCAAAGACUUACACUCAUUCUCAAAGAGCUGGAACUGCAUGCCCAGCAGGCCAACUGACUUGCAGAAGGUGUACGUGGAGGAGCCCUUCUUCUUCGGGCAAAGUUUGAGAAUCUGUUCAGGAGAGGGAAACAGGCAUGUGCUGAUGAGCAGACACUCACGGACACAUGGAUGCACAAACACCCGGGGGAUGCACGAUCACACAAACCCACGCAGCGAUGAAUGUGCACAUACAGGUACAGAUAUACAUAUGUGUGCACACACUAUCCCAAAAUGUGCUGCUUCACUGCACAAAACCCUACAGUAUUCCCUCUGUACUUAGAAGCCAAGCCACGGCGCCUGAGCUGGCCUGUAAAACCCACCUGAUGUGGUCCUUGCCUUACUCUGGCCUUCUGCCCAAGUGUCCUCCCUGCUGUAGCUUGAGAAGGGCAAGCUCAGUUCCACUGUGGGCCCCUCGCAUACACUGUUCCCACUCCACAGCUCUCCCGGCAGCUUUUUGCACGGCUGCGUUACUCUCAUUACUUAAGUCUCAAAUGCUACCUCCUUAGACAUGCCUUCCUGGAUCAUCUCCUCUAAAAAACAAACCAAAGCAAGCCCAAACCUGGCCCUUAACUCCAGUCACUCUCUGUACUAUCACCUGGUUUGUGGCCUUCAUAGUGCCUUCCCCCAAUCUGAUAUUAUCUUGUUUGUCUGUUUCUUAAUUAUUUUCUAUCUCCCUCCCCUACUAAAAUGAAAGCUCGUUUUAGUAAAGUCAUCUGGUUGCUUAAUAAACAAAUUUCUAUUCAGCA